CCAAACAAUUGCACUGACCACACAGCUCUAAGCCACAUUCCAGGGCGCUGCCGUCUGCUCGGGAGUGAAUUGCUGGGAAAAUGAACCAAGCUGCUAAUUUGCUUGAUUGGGGGAAAAAUAAGAUCUCAAGUAACAAUGGGCGUAAUUUAUUUUUCCAACAAGAAUAGGGGCAAUGCCAUUUCAUCCCCCUCUCCCAACGGCUACCAUAAAUGAAAGCAAUCACCUAAUUAGUCCUGAAUUACUAACUGGCAGGCAGAAACAAUGAACCACCCCCACACCCCUGCGUCAGGCACUCUCCGGAAAGACAGGCAAAACAAUAGAAGAGUAGGUUUCCCAAAUUGCAUCACUCCACAAACAUUUUCCAAGCCAUUUGUGAAUGGCCUUAAUGAAGAGGACUGGAAACCUGUCUCCUGGAAGGGCUCACACCGGCCCCACCCCGUUGUGGUCCCAGUGUCUGAACUUCAGCGGGUGUUAAGAUCCUGUCCCCAACGUCAUAAGUGCUAUUUUGCUGUCUUGCUUCAUUCUAGUAAUUGUUUCAGAUAUUUAAACUCUGCUCAGUUCUGAAGCUUUACAAGCACAGGAAAUUCUCGUCUGCUUUAAACAAAAUACGAGAGUUCAUGCCCCCGAUUAGGGGUCAAUAAACCCACUGCCUGCAGACAAAAUGCCGCUCUGGCCUGUUCUUGGAAGUCAAGUUUUCUUGGAGCCCAGCCAGUUUUGUUUCUGUAGCGUCUGUGGCCGGUUUCAUGUGACAGCAGUGGAGUUAGGGGUCGAGACACAUUGUGCCUCCGCAAAGCUGAGAAUAUUUCCUAUUCGGCUCUUUACAGAGACAUUGGUUGACCCCUGCCCUGGAACCAUACCUGCAGUUUUAAAUUAAUUAAGUCAAUUAACCCAAUCAAAAAUUUACUUGGCCUAGGAGUGAAAAGUGCUUUGGGGUCUUGAAGGACGUACUACAAAUUGUUGACAGAAACUUCUAAGUGGGAUUUGAGACUGUGGAUGAG
rnacentral:lncRNA from 1 species